CCUACGGGUGACAGCAGUGAGGAAUAUUGGUCAAUGGUCGGGAGACUGAACCAGCCAAGCCGCGUGAGGGAGGAAGGUACAGAGUAUCGUAAACCUCUUUUGUCAGGGAACAAAGACUGGGACGCGUCCCCGGAUGAGUGUACCUGAAGAAAAAGCAUCGGCUAACUCCGUGCCAGCAGCCGCGGUAAUACGGAGGAUGCGAGCGUUACCCGGAUUUAUGGGGUUUAAGGGGUGCGCAGGCGGUCUGUUAAGUCAUCGGUCAAAGCCCGGGGCUCAACCCCGGCCCGCCGUUGAAACUGGCAGUCUCGAGUUGGAGAGAAGUAUGCGGAAUGCGCGGUGUAGCGGUGAAAUGCAUAGAUAUCGCGCAGAACUCCGAUUGCGAAGGCAGCAUGCCGGCUCCACACUGACGCUGAGGCACGAAAGCGUGGGUAUCGAACAGGAUUAGAUACCCCAGUAGUC
rnacentral:rRNA from 1 species